UGCCCCAUGGCUGAGUUGGUUACAGCGUCCGACUGUUAAUAAGCGCAAUCGGAAGGUCGUGAGUUCGAGCCUCACUGGGGCAG
rnacentral:tRNA from 1 species